AGCUGCGCCUGCCCGAGGAGACUCGCGGCAGCCAGAGCAGCCCGGUGACGCCCGUGGCGCGGCGCAAGGAGCGCAAGACUACUGGCACGCCACCUAUCGGUCGACGUCUGCUGAGUUCGCCUCUGCUGUGCCGCCGUCGUAUGCCCAGCUCCACCGACUCGUCUGACGAAGAGGUCACAGAGGUCACAAGGUCGCGACCUUUCACCAACCUUGAGUCGCUGCAGAGGAGUCAGGUCAAAAAUAAGCUGCGGCGUGGCAUUCGUGACUCGUCGCAGACGGACGGCGCGCCG